AGUGAACGCUGGCGGUAGGCCUAACACAUGCAAGUCGAACGGCAGCACAGUAAGAGCUUGCUCUUACGGGUGGCGAGUGGCGGACGGGUGAGGAAUACAUCGGAAUCUACUUUUUCGUGGGGGAUAACGUAGGGAAACUUACGCUAAUACCGCAUACGACCUACGGGUGAAAGCAGGGGAUCUUCGGACCUUGCGCGAUUGAAUGAGCCGAUGUCGGAUUAGCUAGUUGGCGGGGUAAAGGCCCACCAAGGCGACGAUCCGUAGCUGGUCUGAGAGGAUGAUCAGCCACACUGGAACUUAGACACGGUCCAGACUCCUACGGGAGGCAGCAGUGGGGAAUAGUGGACAAUGGGCGCAAGUCUGAUCCAGCCAUACCGCGUGGGUGAAGAAGGCCUUCGGGUUGUAAAGCCCUUUUGUUGGGAAAGAAAAGCAGCAGGUUAAUACCCCGCUGUUCUGACGGUACCCAAAGAAUAAGCACCGGCUAACUUCGUG
rnacentral:rRNA from 1 species